CACGUGUUUAACAUGAACAACACGUGAAUCAGUUUGAAUACAUAUGGGUUGGCUUGAGGUGUUAUUCUAUAUAAUCCACACGACUCUCGGCAACGGAUAUCUCGGCUCUCGCAUCGAUGAAGAACGUAGCGAAAUGCGAUACCUGGUGUGAAUUGCAGAAUCCCGCGAACCAUCGAGUCUUUGAACGCAAGUUGCGCCCGAGGCCUCUUGGCCGAGGGCACGCCUGCCUGGGCGUCACGCCAAACACGCUCCCACCCAACUAACUUGGGGUGGGACGCGGCAUGUGGCUCCUCGUCUCGCAAGGGGCGGUGGGCCAAAGAUCCGGCUGCCGGCCUAUCGUGCCGGACACAGCGCGUGGUAGGCGACCUCGCUUUACUAAACGCAGUGCCUCUGGUGCGUAGCCGACGCGAUGGCCCCAAUGGACCCUUUUAACGGAGUGCAUGACGCUUCGACCGCGACCCCAGGUCAGGCGGGACUACCCGCUGAA
rnacentral:rRNA from 1 species